AGCGAACGCUGGCGGCAGGCCUAACACAUGCAAGUCGAACGAACCUUUCGGGGUUAGUGGCGGACGGGUGAGAAACACGUGGGAACGUGCCUUUAGGUUCGGAAUAACUCAGGGAAACUUGUGCUAAUACCGAAUGUGCCCUUCGGGGGAAAGAUUAAUCGCCUUUAGAGCGGCCCGCGUCUGAUUAGCUAGUUGGUUGAGGUAAUGGCUCACCAAGGCGACGAUCAGUAGCUGGUCUGAGAGGAUGAUCAGCCACAUUGGGACUGAGACACGGCCCAAACUCCUACGGGAGGCAGCAGUGGGGAAUCUUGCGCAAUGGGCGAAAGCCUGACGCAGCCAUGCCGCGUGAAUGAUGAAGGUCUUAGGAUUGUAAAAUUCUUUUACCGGGGACGAUAAUGACGGUACCCGGAGAAGAAGCCCCGGCUAACUUCGUG
rnacentral:rRNA from 1 species